rnacentral:rRNA from 1 species
AUUGAACGCUGGCGGCAUGCCUAACACAUGCAAGUCGAGCGCGGCGCGGACGGGUGUGUCACGUGUGGGAAUCUGCCCUAUAGAGGGGGAUAACUCCGGGAAACGGUGGCUAUUACCGCAUAGCAUCGGCUUAUCCCAUCGGGGUUUAGCUAGUAGGUGGGUUAGAGGCUGACCUCGGCGACGAUCCCUAGUUGGUCUGAGAGGAUGAUCAGCCACACUGGAACUGAGACACGGCCCAGACUCCUACGGGAGGCAGCAGUGGGGAAUAUUGCACAAUGGGCGAAAGCCUGAUGCAGCCAGGCCGCGUGUAUGAAGAAGGUCUUAGGAUUGUAAAGUACUGUCAGCGGGGAGGCGUUACCCGCAGAAGAAGCACCGGCUAACUCCGUGCCAGCAGCCGCGGUAAUAC